rnacentral:rRNA from 1 species
UUAAGCAUAUCAAUAAGCGGAGGAAAAGAAACUAACAAGGAUUCCCCUAGUAACGGCGAGUGAAGCGGGAAGAGCUCAAAUUUGAAAUCUGGUGGCCUCAGGCUAUCCGAGUUGUAAUCUAUAGAAACAUUUUCCGCGUUGGCCCAUGUACAAGUCCCUUGGAAUAGAGCGUCAUAGAGGGUGAGAAUCCCGUCCUUGACAUGGACUACCAGUGCUUUGUGAUAUGUUUUCAACGAGUCGAGUUGUUUGGGAAUGCAGCUCAAAAUGGGUGGUAAAUUCCAUCUAAAGCUAAAUAUUGGCGAGAGACCGAUAGCGAACAAGUACCGUGAGGGAAAGAUGAAAAGCACUUUGGAAAGAGAGUUAAACAGUAUGUGAAAUUGUUGAAAGGGAAACGAUUGAAGUCAGUCGUGUCUAUUGGACUCAGCCGGUUCUGCCGGUGUACUUCCUUUAGAUGGGGUCAACAUCAGUUUUGAUCGCUGGAAAAGGGCAGGAGGAAUGUAGCACUCUCGGGUGAACUUAUAGCCUUCUGUCGCAUACAGUGGUUGGGACUGAGGAACGCAGCUUGCCUUUAUGGCCGGGAUUUAUCCACGUACAAGCUUAGGAUGUUGACAU